UUCAAGAGGAGAGAUCUGGGGACAUCUCUCACUCCACCAUGCUUCUGACGUCCACAAAAAAGACUUAACGUUGUUGAGGCUCCCUAUGUAUGUGCCUGGCACUGUUCCUGUUAGAUAUGUAUGGUUACAUCAAAGAGAAAGUCACUAUGCUAAUAUUUUAAUAGCUUGGUUUUCACAUUUGCUUAUUCAUCUUUUCAGAAGUAUUUUUUUCAUUAUAAUUUUACAGUUAUAUAUGUGAUAACCCAGCACAUUUAUUGAGUCCUCCAUGUCCCAGGUACUAUUUGAUGAUCCAUGGAUUACAGCAAUCACCCCAUGUCUCUGCCCUUGUAAUUUAGUAUUGUUUUCAUGGGACAGAGGCAUAUCAAAUACAUGAGUACAUGUAAGUACAUAUAGAAAAAUCAUGCAGAGGUAAGUGCUAAGAUGAAAAAUGAAACCCGGUCGGGAUAGCUAGUGACGGAUUUGAGAUAGGUGGUUGGAGGAGGCCUCUCCAGGAAGAUCUGCACUGGAGAGACGAGUGAGAUUUUAACUAGGAAAGCUUUCUAGACAGGGGGGUGCCUGGCAUUUGUUUAAGGAACCACGGAAAAGCCAACAGGGUUGGCUUUUUGAGUGAGGCAGGGCAGAAGUGGUUGGAGAAAAAGGGACUCUCAUUUGCCAGUCUUAGAUCAAAGGUCAUCUUCCUAGCCUCGAUCGAAAUUAGACCUACACUCUCAGCCACUUUACCCCGGUUUAUUUUCUUCACAACACUUAAACAUUAUCUGCAAUUAUCUUGUUUGAUUUCUUCAUUGACUAAGUCUCCUUACACAUAUGCACACACCAGCCGGGAUGCAAGCUCCAUGAGAUCAGGGCCUGCCUUCUUCUCCUGUACUCCCAGUAGCAAGAAUUGCAUCUGGCAUACAAUAAAAAUAUUGUUGAUCGAAUGAACAAAAAUAGAAUGCCAGGAGGGAACUAGUCUACUUCAGCAGUUCUCAAACUUUUUUGGGUCUCAGGACCCCUUUACUUUACAUCCCUGAAACUUAUUGAGGACCCUAAAUCUUUUUGUUUUUGUGGGUUAUGUCAGCCAAUAUUUACCUAUUAAAACUGAAAAUUUAAAAAAUCCAUUCGAAACCCUUAUGUCGACAUAAUUAAAACUAUAGCUAGGGGUACGCCUGUAUCUCAUGGACUGUGGAUCAUGCUUACCUAACCGUGAGUGUGUUGCCUGAGAGCAUGGUCAGUGGUAACUCUUAGAUUCACCCCAGAAUAGAGCACAGAUGAAGCAUGUGGAUUUUGCCGAAAACAAGGAUAUAUAAAAUGGGAGAAUAGUGCCUUGGAAAUGUUACUGGGAAAGAGAUAACACACGUAGGGAGUUGAAUUCAGUGCUUCACACAGACUGUAACACUGAGAAAAGACAAGUGGCAUGAUGUAAUUUGUUUAAAAAAUCUCUCUCCACUGGUACAGAAAAUGGAAGCGAGCAAGCGGAGGCAGGGCCAGAAAAGCAGUAAUCUAGGAUUAUUAAUCUAGUAAUCUGUAAAGAGAGGAUGGUGAUUUGUACUAGGGCAAUUGAGGUAGAUGGCAGAGGUGGUGUGAGAUAUGGUCAAGCUCCAUGAUUUGCUUAGCAAAAAAGCCAACUGUCUGGGAAUGGAAUGUGUAGUGGGAUUUGAUUGACUUAUCUGCAGACAGGGUUUAAGCCAACAUUACCCUAGGAUCAUGAUGAAAGUGAGGGGCCCAAAGCUAAGAGCAGCAGAGCUACAGUAAGAGUAUGGCCAGCAGCUGAGAAAGGGCCCCGGAAAAGUGGGCCAAUACUAACUGACAUACUCCUCUUCAACCCUAGACUAUGAAUUCUCUAAGGGCAGGGACUACAUUUUGUCUGCUUUGCUAUUCCAAGCACCUUCUACAAUGUCUGGUACAGGGUGUGCAUGGAUUAGUCUGCUGAAUCAGUGACUCCUUCACUCCAAAAUAGUAACACUUCCUGUUUCCUAUGACCAUGCAGGGUUUGAGGAUAUUUUUUGAUUUGCUCUGCUGUCAUCUUAAAACUUCCCUUUAACUGCCAAGAUUUCAUGAAGUUCAUUUGUAUCCCUCUCCUUUUUCAUCCAUACAUGCAACCACUGUCGACAUUUAACAGUGCUUUGGGUCCUAUAGAGAGAUACACAAAUAAAGGAGAGAUAUAAUAUGCACUUAUAAUAUGCAUCAUCCCUUUAUAGCAGGGACUUAUAUACUGCACUAUAUUCAGUGAUGGUUUCUUGAGCUCAAGGCCAUGUGUUGAGCUGCAGAUGGUGGGCUUUGCAGACCCAUUCCUCAGGGUUCUGACCUUUUCCUCUACUUUGUGGUUCACAGACAUUAGCAAUUUCUCUUUGAGACUUGGGUUCCUCAUCUCUACAGUGGUGUCACAGAGACUGUUAGUUGCUCAUCUCCUGUCUACACUCUUCUUCUAUCAGGGUGAUAAAAUCACCUAGCUGAUCUUCAUCUACAUCUCCCCACAUCCUGGCGCAUUUCAAAUAAAUUCCACUACGUCCAAGUCACUGAACUGAAAGCAUUACAGUGUAACAACUAAGAACGCUCUGGAGGCAGACUGCCUGGGUUUACAAUCUCUGCUGUCACACUUACUAGCGUGGUGACAUCAUUACCAUGUUAGUAACCCUCUCGUGCCUCACUUUCCUCAUCUGUUAUACGAAGAUAAUGGUACCUACUUCACAGACUGAUAAGCUCAUCGGUGAGUGUCCCAAAGUGAUCAUUAACACAGAAAAACCCCUACAUCACCAUGCCUCAACUUAGUUCACAUAACAAGGCCAAAUGAGACGAGUUGUAUUAUAUUCAUCACUGUUAUAUUCGUCACAGUGACAUAUAAGUAAACGUCAGAGCCACGUCAGAGCCACACCAGAGAGCACAAAAAGCUGGAUUUAUUGUUUCUGACAACUGCACGGUAAUUUUUAGUUUGUGUUCCUAGAAUCAGCAAUCUGAAAUGUAAUUUUUCUCCUUAAUUACAAACAUCGAUUCUAAAAAUUUAUUAGUUUAAAAAUGCAUCGUCCUAUGUAGAACAUCUUAAAAAUCUUUGCCAAGCAAGAUAUUCGCUUUAUCUUUUUAAAUCUCUGCAUAAAAAUGAAAAAAAAAAAAA